rnacentral:rRNA from 1 species
GACAGAGGGUGCAAACGUUGUUCGGAAUUACUGGGCGUAAAGCGCGUGUAGGCUGUCUCGCAAGUCGGAUGUGAAAGCCCUGGGCUCAACCUAGGAAGUGCACUCGAAACUGCGAGACUUGAGUCCUGGAGAGGAAGGCGGAAUUCUCGGUGUAGAGGUGAAAUUCGUAGAUAUCGAGAGGAACACCGGUGGCGAAGGCGGCCUUCUGGACAGUGACUGACGCUGAGGCGCGAAAGCUAGGGGAGCAAACAGG